UACGAAGGGGGCUAGCGUUGUUCGGAAUCACUGGGCGUGAAGGGCGCGUAGGCGGCUAAUCAAGUCGGGGGUGAAAGCCUGUGGCUCAACCACAGAAUUGCCUUCGAUACUGUUUGGCUUGAGACCGGAAGAGGACAGCGGAACUGCGAGUGUAGAGGUGAAAUUCGUAGAUAUUCGCAAGAACACCAGUGGCGAAGGCGGCUGUCUGGUCCGGUUCUGACGCUGAGGCGCGAAAGCGUGGGGAGCAAACAGG
rnacentral:rRNA from 1 species